GAGUAAAGCUUAGACCAGGACUGCCACCGUCGACCGUGUUCAAAGUUAGUUGAAUCCGGGAUUUCGUCGCUUCUAUAUGUAAGAUGCAGGAUGACUGUGGAUAACGUGGUUAGCAUUUGGACAGCCAUGCUACUUGCUCGGCCUUCUAGCCAUGAUGGUCAUCGCCUCGUGGAUGAUACGUGAUGUCCUCUGCUGCAAGCCGUUCAUGUGCUACAUGAUCAGUAAUUCAUGGUUAUGGCAUGAUGACGUUCAGAUAUGAAUUAUUUGAAAACAUGUUGGAUCAAGGCUUCAUCAUGGUCAAGAAGCAUGCUUCCAUUCUGUACAGCAAUCUGCCUUGUACAUGUCAAACAUUUAGGUGUUCUAAAUUCCACAUUGCCUGUUGUCGAAUCAUGGGUCAUGGUUUUUUUUAUUGUAUUAGGAGUCUUCUACUCUGGGAUUACUCAUUUCAGGUGCUCUUGUAUCAGCAAAUGGUUGUCCAAUUGGGAGGAUAUCUGCGUGUCGUUUAUGUAUUGAACUCAUUUUUCUGUGGGAUUAUGGUUGUUCAGUCAUAUUUCAUUUUACAUUUCAUAAAUGUAAGAUGUUAUCCAGUGCUAGCAGCAGCGGUGGAAAAAUUGAUGCAAACGACAAUCACAUGCUUGGCAGGUGAAAUUUGGAAGAUGCUUUUUCGCAAUCGGCAUAAUUAUCCUUUGUAGAUCGGGUCUUAAUGCUGAUUGCUACUAUAACGAGUCGCUCAGGCUCUUGUCUUCUUUUCCUAAGGUAACCGUUGGCGGUCAUUUUGAAAGUGUGGUGCCGGAUUUUUUCUCCUUCCCUCGGUAUUUUUUUGCGCGACCUGCUACCGUUACGUAAAGGUAUAAUUUUUUUUCUUGAAAUAAUGAUGUAGGAGCAUGAAGUGUUGGAUUCACCUGCUUACUAUAUGGUUGUUGAUCUAUUUUGUGUUUAAGCGUUGACGAUGGCUGGGAGCGACGGCCGUCAUUGGCCACCGGCCGUCGUGACCCCAGCCAUGGUGCCACCGUCACGAAAUCCUGUUUUACUUCAGGUUUUGGCUGUGGUAAUGGAGUCUCAUCUUGAACCUUGGUUCUGUAAGUUGAAUUUGCAAUUCGCUGCUGAUAAUCUAAGCCAAAUCUCUUUCUUAGCAUUUGACUGGGUUAGGGAAACAUAGCAAAUGGUCUAGACAUUAUUGGAAAUGGAAUGCUGGACGUCCGCGAGGUGAGAAUUGUCUAAGUUCUUUUUUAAUUGAAACAUGGUAGGUAAAUUUUUUGUUCAGCUUUAAUUUAUUUUGGAUGGGGAUUGGUUUCUGAUUUAUAUGAAAAUUCACCCGAUUGUCUUAUGUUUAUUGUUUGGAUUAACCACAAUAUUAGCCUUGAAUUCCCAUUUCAGAUUGUUCGGGUUCAUCGAAUGAAUGUACGUUUGAGUAUCUUGGCGAAACACGACGUAUUUGCAAAUGAUUUUAUGGUGUUUCUCGUUGACCAAUCACACCAAAUGUCCAAAUACAUGAAGUGAAAUACAGAAAAAUAUAGCGAAAAAGUUGUGGCUUCGAGGCGGGUGCUAGCAAUGUAUGGUUGUUACGUUUUCAGUGUUCUUUCCUAUACUCAAGCUGGGCUUCUGGCAAAAAUCGCAAUUAACAAGGUUGAUGUUAGUAACGGAAAGGAGGUGUUAAGGCUGGUGAAAGAUGAAAUGUCAGAAGAUUUUCCUAUACUUAAUUAAUGCUUAAAUAUUUACAAAAAAACAUGUUUAUCUCAGUUCCUUUAUUUACCGUAGCCAUGUUUCCCCAUGUCUUGUGAUCAUACUGUAGCAAUCAGCAGAGAAAGAAGGAACUGUCUGGAAAGAAGGCGAGUGGGCUGAUAAAAUUUAUGGGAAAAAUAGGGGGUAUGAAAAAAUGAGCCGAACAUUAUAUAAUAACUUAGAAUCAGAAAUUAUUGCCGUGGUAAAAAGCCGUUUAAAAUAAGAUGAAAUUUGCACCGUAGUUGUUGUAUUAAGAUGGUUAACUACAUAGUUGAUCUUUGGUUAACUGCUUGUAAUUUGCCCGUCUUUUGAUGUAUUUUAAUUAUGUAAAAUAAUAUUCCCAAUGAGUUCAUGCAUUAUCUUCAACAUUGUUGAUCUGUAACAAAAUUCAAUAUGUAUGAUUAAUUGUAAAUAAACAUUUCGAAUCAAUCAA